UACAGAGGGGGCGAGCGUUGUUCGGAAUUACUGGGCGUAAAGGGCGCGUAGGCGGCUUCUUAAGUCGAACGUGAAAUCCCCGGGCUCAACCCGGGAACUGCGUCCGAUACUGGGAGGCUUGAAUCCGGGAGAGGAGAGUGGAAUUCCUGGUGUAGCGGUGAAAUGCGCAGAUAUCAGGAAGAACACCCGUGGCGAAAGCGGCUCUCUGGAACGGUACUGACGCUGAGACGCGAAAGCGUGGGGAGCGAACAGG
rnacentral:rRNA from 1 species